CGCUAGUGCACUAGGAUUGCAAACGUCAGCUCUGAAAUAAAAAGCAGGAUAUUUCUGCCCCGCUCCUCUAUUCCGGAAGCUGGGAGGUUCUGUGGGAGAAAGGACCUGCACCCAAUAACUCAAUUUAAGAUUUAAGGUUUUGAGGGGCGUGGGGUUGGAAUCGCCUUGGAGAAACGGGUUUGCCUGCUUACCUGAGCCAAAGGAAGUUGCCCUCAAAGGCAGGUCAGCAAUCAUACCCCGCCAAAAGCAAAUGCACAUCAAAGUAACUUCCUUUAAAUGAGAUUACUGUAGUUUCCAUGUCUUCCACAUUAGUAAAUAAAUAUUUGGAAGACUUCGAAUUUGUGAUUUACGUUUAAAUAUAUUUCACCAACAUUGUUUAAUUAAAAAAAAAUCCCAUCUAAGAGAAGGUUCCUAUAGGAAAUUGGCCCUUUAACUCAUACACAGAUUACCCUCGGCACUUUCAGAAAACAACACAGUGACCAGUAUAUUCUGUCUUUUUGAUACAGCCAGAAGCACCCUGAAAGCUGAGACCUAACUGUGCUUUUGGAAAAUAAGCUUUUAGGAGUUGAAUGACCUUGUCUACUUCUUUUAGUCAGAAUAAUGUUGGCAUGUCUAUUUUAGGUUAAAAAAAAAUACAAAUUCUAAAAAGUGACUUUAAAGGCCCACUUUGAAAGCCUUAGCAUUUAAACUAACAUUAGAUUUAAAAGAAGGGCUUUUCUCCCCCAUUAUAGGAAGCUGUGUAAAAUCAUGUGUGAGGUUGUGAGGGUCAAAUGGAAGUCUAAGAUAAAGUUCUGCCAAUUACUGGUGUCUUUAAGCUUCCACCAGCAGCCAAGCACAGUGCAGAUCAUGAGUCCUUCAAAAUACGGGGUGGUUUUAAUGCUCUAAGUUGGUAUGAUUACUUUUUCUAAAGAGCUCAAAGUGCUUUGGUGCCAUAGUAUGAAUUUCAUUACCCAUUGUGAGACACAAAGGGGGUUAGCAAUGAUUCUGUUUGCACCCUGGAAGCCAAAGGCAGGUUACUCACCCACUUAGUUCCCUACCACAAGACCUUGAAAGAAACUGGAACCCCAGGUCUCCAGCCCAGAGAUUUUGUUGGAAGUUUCCAUUUGCAGGAAAUGACUGCAGGGCACAUGUGGGAAGUGACAGGAAUUUGAGGACUAACAUUUUAGUUUUCCUCAUUUCUUUUUAAAUCUGAGCAAUUGUUCAUUGAUCGAUAAUCUAUGUUCUUACAUUCAGAUAAAUAAAAACACCAACUGGCUAUUUUGUUCUUACUUAGUUUUAUGUGUAUGUCCAGGCAUUUGCCACUGCUCCUAAAUAGCUCUCCCUGAAGUCUUCUGGUCAUGAGUUAGGUUUCUUAUCCAGAAGCUCAUGUAGUGCCAGAGCUUAGCUCUCCUAUGACAACACAAUCACAUUAUUGAAACAUCUAUUUAGGGAUCUGUCUUCUCUAAUAGAUUAUAAACGCCUUGAGCUUGGGUAUCGUGAUUUAAUGAUGAAUCCUCCAUGGUAUCUGAAUCCCAGAAUCCUACAAUCCUGCAUGGUAUCUGAAACAUACUAUGCUCUUAAAAAAAAAAAAAAAAAACUUUGUAAAUGGAACUUCCCUCAAGGAGUCAGGGUUUAAGUCAAACAUGUUUCCCUUUCAAAGCCGUGGGCAUGAGAAUAGAGGCUGUUAGGAGACACAGUAGUAGUUGACUGCAAAAGUGUCUGUCAGUCAGUUGUGUGGCCCAAGACUCUUUUUAUCAGUUCCAACAACUGAAAAAUGAGAGGGUUUUAGUGGAAGAUCUCUGUACUGCUAAUAUUUUAAGAUCUCGAAGUCUUUAUUGAGCACCUAGUAUGUGUACAACACUAUGCCAGUUACUAAGAGAGAGAUGAAAAAAUAAGAUAUCUCCAUUGCCCUAAGAGAGCAUAAAAUCUUAUCUCAAGGAAAAACAAGGCAAACACUCCUAGCCUACCUUUACAGACACGCACAGACAUGAGUUAACACAGUUGUAAACUGUUCUAAAGAAGAUAAAGGCUCAAGGAGUGAAAAGGCAUGAAAUAGAAACAAAAGCAACUGACCUAUGAGUUUGGGCAAUAAUCAGUAAUAAUACCAGCUAAAGUGUAUCUAAGGCUUAUAGUGCCAGGUACUAUGCAAAAUGAAUCAUAGGAGCUGCACCUUUUGUUCAUUUUACAAAUGGGGAAACGGAGGUUUAGGAGAGUUUAGUGACUCGUUCAAGGUGACAUACUAAUAAGUGGUAGGGCUGAUAUUCAAAGAGUUCUCACCUGACUCCAAAGUGCAUCUUCUCAACCAAUAUUAGAGAUUAUUAGCCCAGACUUCCCUAUUUUAUAAUUGAGGGAUUUCAUUAGAGCACUAGAGGAGGAAGCUACCCUUCCAGUAAAAACUAGACUCCUAGUCUAGUGCUCUAUGUAAUUAAGUAAUAUGCUUAUGUUUGCUAUUUUUCUGGUUUUUCUCUUUCCCACAAAAUAUGUAAUAGGAGACGGGAGGUCAGGAAAAGGGGAGAGAGAGAAAAAGAGAGAAGUUGCUUCUUUUGAAGAUGUCCAGAAUCCACAGUAGUCUACCUGCUCAGACUCAAUGGGGUUUUAUUUGUAACCCCCAGUCUAGUGGGCAGCCCUGUAUAGCCUUUCUUCCCAUCAUGGCUGUUUGAAUCUUUCAGGUUAAUAGCAUGAAUAUUAAAGACUCCAGUGGGACUCUUUAUCCACAAAGGAAAUUGGGAUCAGGUUAAAAAUCCAAUUUUAAUAAACUUUCCAAGUCCUGAUUUAGAUGAGGUACUAAUGGCUCUUACUGCUGAAUCACCUUAAAAGUCAAAUGUAUUUUUAAAAGGGAAGCUUGUUGGGUAUUGUUUAAUUGUGCAUUGCACAUUCCUGUCUUAAUAGAAAAAGAUCAUCUGUAAAACUUAUGAGAGCAGAUAGGAAAUGCCACUAUCCACAGAGCCAGUUGGGUAGAGGGAAGGGCGUUGGGUUUGAAAGAUAAUUUUCACUCGUUUGACCAAAACAAAGAGAGCAUGAUUGCACUGUGUGAAAAUGAUAUCCUCGAAUAACUCCACUAAUUUGAUUGUGCUGAGGUCUAGAAUUGUUUCUAUUUCUUUUGAUUUGCUAAUUAGCUAGAGCAGUCCGCUAGUGAGAGGGGAAAUGAGGGUCACAGCCAUAAAACAUGGAGGAUUGUUGUUCCUUCCAACUCAGCUCACCCAUCUCAUGCCUCCCCAACCAUCCCGUCCCAACGCCCAAUUUUGUCUCUGUGUAUGUAACAACAAUCCAUCCAUCUAUGACAAAUUGAGUGAUUCUUUUCUGAAAACAGGAUUUUUAAGAUUAUCUACUUUAUGACACCAAAUUUGACACAUCUUGGCAUAUGUGGUUAUGAGGUCCAGUUAUGACUUUUAUGAUGUUUUCCUUUAUGAAUCCUGCUCCCUGCCUUGCCAAGUUAAAAUUAUAUCUUAUGAUUACAUUAGUAUAAAGGUGAGUAUAUUUUCUUCUUUAUUUAAAUAUCUUCUUUAAUCUAAAAGUUUAUCUUUUUCUGAUUUUUAGAAGAAAUUAAAUCAUUUUUGGGAAGCCCUCAAGGUACCAUAAGCUCUGGGCAGUGUGCCUAAGACUUCUAAUGGAGAAUUUAGCCCUGUGCAGAUGAUAUUGCAGAGGAGGAAUGCUUAGUUAAUUUAGUUCCAGGAUACCUGUGCAGGACAUGACAUGCAGGUUUGUCAUGUAGGUAAACAUGUGCCAUGGUGGUUUGCUGCACCUGUCGACCCAUCACCUAGGUAUUAAGCCCCACAUGCAUUAGCUAUUUUUCCUGAUGUUCUCCCUCCCUCCACCCCCUUGACAGGCCACAGUGUGUGUUGUUCCCCUCCCUGUGUCCAUGAGUUCUCAUUGUUCAGCUCCCACUUAUAAGUGAGAACAUGUGACGUUUGGCUUUCUGUUCCUGUGUUAGUCUGUGGAGGAUAUUGGCUUCCAGCUCCAACCAUGUCUCUGCAAAGGACAUGAUCUCAUUCCUUUUUAUGGCUGCAUAGUAUUCCAUGGUGUAUAUGUACCAGCAGUUAGUUCUUAAAUUAAAAAAAAAAGCUUUCAUAUUUAAUCAAGUUAGGUUAUUUCAAUAUAUGCACCAUAAUGAUUAUUGUAAAGUAAGUUCUGUAAACUAAGGAAAAAUAACUAUUUUGUGCAAUCUCAGAAAAAUCUACUAGAUGGUAUGGGAAACAAGAAAGAGAAAUGAAGAGGCAAAUAAAAACAUGGCAUUUAUUGAGUAGCUGUAUGCUGGGAGAUUUGAACAUUCUCCUUUCCUUUCCCCUAAUUUUACGUACAGAGAAGUAACUUCUUGAAGGUUGUAUGUUCCAGCUUGCAACUAGCCAUGUUGGAUUUAGAAACAGGUCAAAGUCAAGUUCCAUGCUUUCUUCCUGUCUCAUGAUAGCAUUCUCUCCCAUUCUCUACCUGCACAUAUAUAUUUCAUAAAACUAGAAAGAGGACUCCACUAUAUUUUACAUCAUUUCUUCAAAUGAAGAAGAGAUCUGAGUUCUUCAUACCUUCAACAUGUACUUACAUUCCAGGAAUUUAACUAUCCGUAAGGUAUUUAAAUCCUACAUUCAUGAUAUUGUUUUAAUUGCCCUGAGUCAACUAAUUGACAAAGGAAAAUGCUAUGCUUAAAAGCUCAGUUCUCAGUGUAAUUAUUUUUCUCUCCCCACAUAUAAUCAUCCUUUAAAUAUAAAAGCUAUUAUAGAGAUGCAGUUUCCAGCAAACUUUAUCUCACAUUGAGGCCCUUGACUUUAUGUGGUGUUUCAGAUCAGCUUUUUUGUCAAGGGUCACACAUUCAUUCCAGCAUCACUUAAUUCUUUAGCUGUUAGUCUCCAUCCAGCACUAGGGUAGACCCUGGAGAUGCAAAAGCAAGCUAGAGACAGUACCCUUAUUCUCAUGGAGCUAAACAUUAGAGAGGUAUUGGUGUAUUCUUCGGAGUAUAUAAUGCCCUUUCCAGCUAUGGACUCUGCCUUUCUUUAUGUAUUCACCUCUUCCUGGAAGCCACUUUGAGUUGGCAGAAACACUCUGCCUGCCUCAGGAGACAGAGGGAAUUAUUUGUUGAUAAAUUGGGGAAGAAUGGCUCUAAAUGCUUACAUCAGCUCUGUCCUUCCUCUUGGGAAUGAGAUGCAUGCAGGGAGCAUUUAGCCUGCAAGGCUUCUCUGCUGCUCUUCAGGGAUGCUUCCCUGUAGGAGAGAGAUCUACCUGGGUCUGGGGUGGCCUCUUCCUCCCUGGGUGAGUGUGCCUAGUUCUGGGGUUCAGCUAGUGGGUAUCUUGGCUCUGUCACAGUUAUACCCUCCAUCAUGGCCUCUAUUGGUAAUAAAGGAGAUACUUAGCUCUCAUCUGUCUUAGUCUUCGUUCCAUUAGCAGGGAAGAGGGGUGUCAUUCAUCGUGGCUGAUUUAAAGCUACAAAACUGAUGAGCUUUCUGUAUCCCUUUCUUUCUGGCUCCUAAUUCACUUAUCCUUUGCCCAUAAUUAGCACUCAUUAUGCACUGUCCUGUUCGUUAAUUGUUACCAUGGCUAUGGCUUUUUCUUGAUGUUUUUGUGAGUCUAUCGUGUUUAUAGCUUAUGUCUUUUAGGCCCUACUUAUAAGUAGAAAGAGAACAGGAAGUGAGCUCCCCCAAAAUAGACAUGCAGUCAAUAUCACAAACCCCAAGAGGGCAAGUUCUGGAACCAGCAGAUUCCAGCUCUGCAAUAUUAGCUCUAUAACUUCACCCACAUUACUUAACCUCAGUUUCUUCCUCUGGAAAAUGGGGAAAAUAAUGACACCCUUCUCAUAUUAUCACACAUGAAGUUCCUGACACAGAGUACACACUGAAUGCAUGUGUGCUGUUAUUACAAAAAGGAAUUAAAUCAGAUGGUUUUACCUUCCUUAGAAAGAAUUAAUACAGAAAAAAAAAAAGCUCCUCAACUCUCUUAAGUACUCUGAAUGAAUGACCUCUGUAUUGCAGACUCUUUAAAGCAGCAGUCUCCAAACUUUUUAGCACCAGAGACUGGUUUCGAGGAAGACAAUUUUUCCACAGACCCGGGUGGGGUGAAGGAUGGUUUUGGGAUGAUUCAAGCCCAUUACACUUACCAUUCUAUUCUCAUAAAAGAGCGCACAACCUUGCAUGCACGGUUCACAGUUGGGUUCUGGCUCCUGUGGGAAUCUAAUGCCGCCGCUGAUCUGACAGGAAGCUGAGCUCAGGCAGCCAGUGCUGGCUUGCCUUACCUCCUGCUGUUCUGCCCAGGUCCUGACAGGCCACAGAGCAGUACUGGUCCACAACCUGGGGGCUGGGGACACCUGCUUUAAGGGAACAGUUCUUGAGAACAAACAACAUCUGCUCCAGAGGUCAUUGAUGCUUGAAGAUCAUAGUGAAAGAAGAAUGUUCUCAAAGAACAAGAUUUUUGGGUCAGAUAUUGCUAUGUUUGAAUCUCUUUCCUUCAAAUCCACUUACACAUCCUCCCUGAACCUCAUUUUUUAAAUAAAAUAAUACAAUGAUAUUUACAUAUAAUAUAAUAUUUUGAGAUUUAGGUUAAAUGGUGCAGUUGAAAGUCACUAAUAGUAUAAGGCAUAUGGCAUAUUGUACAUCAAUCUAUUGUAUUUUAUAUCAAUAUAUGUUGUAUUCAAUAUUGUUCAUUAUUCAUUGUUCAUUAUUCAAUAUGUAUUCAUAUUGUACAUCAAUAUAUGUUGAAUAACUGAAUCCAGGGAAUAUUCCUUCUGCAACUGAUUUCAAAUAGUGCCAUUACCCAGAGCUGUGGAUGUUGCCUGAGUUGACUUGUACUUACCUGCAAAGCAAGUGACCUUGAACGGGCAGAGUAAGAGGAAGAGGCCCUCCAUGGAAAACUAAACAACUGGUCCAUUUUUGUUUGAAUAAUCAAGUCUGGGAGGUGUUCCUUGUGCAGAGCACAUUAUUUUCUUUCUAUAUUGGAUAGCUGUACCCCAUUCACAGGGGUGACAUGCCAUUCAUACUGCAGCAGUAGGAAAGUCCCCAUGGUUUCUCUUUCCUCAUUCACUUUUAUAUGUAUAUAUAUUUUUUAUUAUACUUUAAGUUCUAGGGUACAUGUGCACAAUGUUCAGGUUUGUUACAUAUGUAUACACGUGCCAUGUUGGUGUGCUGCACCCAUUAACUUGUCAUUUACCUUAGGUAUAUCUCCUAAUGCUAUCCCUCCCCACUCCCCCUACUCCACAACAGGCCCCAGUGUGUGAUGUUCCCCUUCCUGUGUCUAAGUGUUCUUAUUGUUCAAUUCCCAUCUGUGAGUGAGAACACAUCAUUCACUUUUGAUGUCGGUGGAAUAGUGGCCCCCACAAAGACGUACACAUCCGGAUCCCCAGAACCUAUGAAUAUGUUCCUUUACAUGGUUUUAUGGAUUGAUCUGUAUGCUGCUAAAAUUAAUAUGUUGAAGUUGUGGCCCACAAUACCACAAAAUGUGACUAAAUUUGGAGAUAGGUCUUUUCAGAGGUAAUCAAUUUAAGAUGAGUUUAUUAGGGUAGAUGCUAAUUUAAUGUAACUUUGUUCCCAUAAGAAGGAAAAAAUUGGACACGGAGAUAAGGACAGAGGAAAGAUGAUGUGAAGACAGGGGCAGAAGUCAGCCAUCUACAAGUCAAAGGGAGACAUGUGGAACAGAUUCACCCUCACAGCCCUCAGAUGGAAGCAACACCACUAACACUUUGCUCUUGGACUUCUAGCUUCCAGAACUGAGAGACAAUAUCUUUCUGUUGCUUAAGUCAUUCUGUCUGUGAUACUGUGUUUAUGGCAGCCCUGGCAAACUAAUACAGUCCCACAAAGAUUUGGUUGUUGCUUUGCAAGAGAAUGUAUAAUUCCUGGUUAUUUCUACAAAUAAGGGCAUUGACUUUAUAAAGCUACAAGUAUACCCCAGUAUUCUGUUUCUGGUUUUUGUUUACUUUCAUAUAUGCUAUCUUUUCAUUCCCAGGUGAAAUCAUAGUGCAUUUUAAAUGAUAUUUUAAAGAGCAAUUAUACUCGUCAUAUGUACUUCAAAUAAUACUGAUUCCUCAAUUGAAGUAAUGGUAACAUGAGUGUAUUAGUUAAUUUUUUCUGAAUAACUAGUUACCUCCAAAGUUCAUGCCUUCAAGCAACACAUAUUCAUUAUUUCACAGCUUCUUUGGGUCAGGAGUCUUGGCAUAGCUUAGCUGAGUCCUCUGGCUCCUGGCGUCCCAGGCUGUAAUCAAGGUGGUGGCCAGGACUGUAGUCAUGUCAGGGCUCGCCAGGGAAGGAUCUGCCUCCAAGCUAACCAGUGUGGCUUUUGGCAGAAUAUAUUUCUAUGCAGGUUGUUGGACUGAGUUUCUUGCUGGCUGUUCCAGAGGUUCCCUUAGCAUCUUGUCGUGUGGCCUCUUCAUAGGUCAAUUCAUAUUGGCUUCAUCAAAGUGAGCAGGUAAGAUAGCAAAAGAGAAUGCCCAAGAUAGAAGCCAUAGUCUUUUUGUAAUCUAAUCUUAGAAGUGACAGCCUGUUAUAUUUGCUAUAUUCUCUUUGUUAGAAACAAGUUUCUAGGGCUGGGCAUGGUGGCUCACAUCUGUAAUCCCAGCAUUUUGGGAGGCCGAGACAGGCAGAUCACCUGAGGUCAGGAGU
rnacentral:lncRNA from 10 species